rnacentral:rRNA from 1 species
UACGAAGGGGGCUAGCGUUGCUCGGAAUCACUGGGCGUAAAGCGCACGUAGGCGGAUUGUUAAGUCAGGGGUGAAAUCCUGGAGCUCAACUCCAGAACUGCCUUUGAUACUGGCGAUCUUGAGUCCGGGAGAGGUGAGUGGAACUGCGAGUGUAGAGGUGAAAUUCGUAGAUAUUCGCAAGAACACCAGUGGCGAAGGCGGCUCACUGGACUGGUAUUGACGCUGAGGUGCGAAAGCGUGGGGAGCAAACAGG